rnacentral:rRNA from 1 species
GAUGAACGCUGGCGGCGUGCUUAACACAUGCAAGUCGAACGAGAAGUGAAGACGGAAACCUUCGGGCGGAAGGCUUUAUUUCGAGUGGCGGACGGGUGAGUAACGCGUGGGUAACCUGCCUCAUACAGGGGGAUAACAGUUGGAAACGACUGUUAAUACCGCAUAAGACCACAGCACCGCAUGGUGCGGGGGUAAAAACUCCGGUGGUAUGAGAUGGACCCGCGUUCGAUUAGCUAGUUGGCGGGGUAACGGCCCACCAAAGCGACGAUCGAUAGCCGAUCUGAGAGGAUGACCGGCCACAUUGGGACUGAGACACGGCCCAAACUCCUACGGGAGGCAGCAGUGGGGAAUAUUGCACAAUGGGGGAAACCCUGAUGCAGCGACGCCGCGUGAGUGAAGAAGUAUUUCGGUAUGUAAAGCUCUAUCAGCAGGGAAGAAAAUGACGGUACCUGAGUAAGAAGCCCCGGCUAACUACGUG